rnacentral:rRNA from 1 species
GACGAACGCUGGCGGCGUGCUUAACACAUGCAAGUCGAACGGUGAAGCGCCUUCCUUUUUGGUGGGUGUGGAUGAGGGGCGAACGGGUGAGUAACACGUGAGUAACCUGCCCCCUUCUUCUGGAUAACCGCAUGAAAGUGUGGCUAAUACGGGAUAUUCUGGGUCUGUCGCAUGAUGGGUCUGGGAAAGAUAUUGUUUCGGUGGGGGAUGGGCUCGCGGCCUAUCAGCUUGUUGGUGGGGUGAUGGCCUACCAAGGCGGUGACGGGUAGCCGGCCUGAGAGGGUGGCCGGUCACACUGGGACUGAGGCACGGCCCAGACUCCUACGGGAGGCAGCAGUGGGGAAUAUUGCACAAUGGGCGCGAGCCUGAUGCAGCGACGCCGCGUGAGGGAUGGAGGCCUUCGGGUUGUGAACCUCUUUCGCCAGUGAAGCAGGCCUGCCUCGUUUGUGGGUGGGUUGACGGUAGCUUGAUAAGAAGCGCCGGCUAACUACGUG